CUCUACCUGCAAGAAAAGCGCACGAUGCCACUUGGGGAUAGGAGUCCUCCGACGGCACCGGAUCACUGGAGGCAAACAUCGAAUUAAUUGGAUCUCAAUGACUGAGGUAUCUGUGGAGGAAGAAGGUGACGUGACAAGAAAAGCCUGACAGCCAAAGUGGGAACUGUCCGGGAGAAGGAUCCGUGAUGAAUGAGGUCUGCGAAAUCAUGAUGCACAAGCAGCCCAGGACAGACAGUGUGC